rnacentral:lncRNA from 1 species
GGUUGUGACCCUGCUCCUCUCUGCUCCAGCUGCCCAUAAUGUGAGCUUGAAGGCACCUGCUGGAUGAGAUCUUCAUGAGACUUUGUGACAACUGCAAGCUUUCAGAACAUUUCACAGUGUUCGCCAGAUCUCAUAAGGGACUGUAUCCAGAAUGUUGCAGAAUGUAUCCAGUAGCAGCAAGAAUGGUCCCAUUCCUGCUAGAGAAAUGUCACAUGGAAAAACAAAACUUUCUCCUCCUCCAGGUCUACUCACUCUGAAAUUUGUCUCCCUGCUUGGAGACCUGAAUUCCUUGAGACUUCACCUGCUUCUCUGACACAUGCAGGAGGAAAAUGGAUUCCAGAAUCAAGAUUCAACCAGUUUUUGACGAACUUAGGUUCACGAUUCAUGCUUCAAAAUGCAGCUUAGUUUUUUUAAUAGCAAGCUGUGGUGGUCACCAGUGCAUUUGCCCACUUUUGGCUAGUCUGUGUGCCAGUUGUGCCUGUUGCUGAGGAAUUCAGACUUGUCUAUGGGAAUGCAUGCCCAUUUCCCUCAAAACUGGGUGGUAGUAACACACUUCUCCCAUAUCAAUUUGACCAUUCCCUGAUGGGGCCCUUCUCUUAUCCAGUCGGGGCUACACCUUGUCAAAGCUAGAGGUGAACCAAUACUGCAGAAUACAUUGCCAUGUGAACUGAAGGGUGUUUCCUUCUCCCUAAAUGUCUUUAAGCAAUUGAAGAAGACAUCCAUUCAGCCAGCUUUUGCCUCUGUUUUCUUUAAACGUUGUUUUGCCUAUUGUCUUUGUUUAUCCACUUAUAAUGACUAUAUUUUUAUUAUAUUGUCUUGCUGAAUGUAUGGUUUUCUGUGGUAUUCUUUAAGGGUUCAUUUAUCUAUGAUCCAUACUUCUGUUUAUUAUUGUUUAGCAGUCUAUUUUUAGUGUAUGUAUGACUUUAUAUUUUGUCAUUUUAUACUGUUGAGAGCCACUCUGGAGUGUAAGGGCACUAAAAGGGCAAAAUAAAUAUCUUUUUAUAAAUAAAUGAAAGUAGGAU